rnacentral:rRNA from 1 species
AAUUCAGAAGUUGAUCAUGGUUCAGAACGAACUGGGGCGGCAAGCUUAACACAUGCAAGUCGAACGGACCGUACGCGCAGCUUGCUGCGUGUAUGGUUAGUGGCAGACGGGUGAGUAAUGCAUAGGAAUCUACCUAGUAGUAUGGGAUAGCCACUGGAAAUGGUGGGUAAUACCGUAUAAUCCCUGCGGGGGAAAGAUUUAUCGCUAUUAGAUGAGCCUAUGUCGGAUUAGCUAGUUGGUGGGGUAAUGGCCUACCAAGGCAGUGAUCUGUAGCUGGUCUGAGAGGAUGAUCAGCCACACUGGAACUGAGACACGGUCCAGACUCCUACGGGAGGCAGCAGUGGGGAAUAUUGGACAAUGGGCGCAAGCCUGAUCCAGCUAUGCCGCGUGAGUGAGGAAGGCCUUAGGGUUGUAAAACUCUUUCAGUAGGGAAGAUAAU